GGAGAAGUGGGAGGGGUAGGGUAAAGGAAAGAAGGGAAAGAAAAAAUUAUGAGAAAGGAAAAAAAUGGAAACAAAGUGUGUGUAAAUAGGGAAGGGUGGAGGGAUGAAGGGAGUGCAGGGAAUGGAGAAAAAAGAACCAAGAUACAUCAUGUAAAGGUACAUGUUCCCAAUGAGAAAUGUAAACGUAUUGUAUACCUAAAAUGUACCAAUAAAAGGAUUUUUUUAAAAAGAAUGUGUAUUUGGCUGUUGUUAGUUGCAGUACUCUAUAGACAUCAGAUAAAUAAAAGUGGAUGAUGCUGUUGCUCAAGUCUUCUAUGUCCUUACUGAUUUUCAUUCUACUUUUCCUACCAAUUACAAUUAGAAGUGGGAUUUGAAAUUUGCGGCUAUAAUGUGAAAUCUAAAUUCUAUUGUUUCAUGUAUUUUGAAGUGCUAUUUUUAGGUGCAUAAUGUUUAUGUACUCUUGAUAAAUUCAUUCCUGUAACUCUAGGAAAUUGCACUCUAUUUCUGUUAUUUACUCCAAAACCUGCUUUGAUAUUUGUCUAUCCAUUCAUACGUCUUUUGAUUUGUGUUUAUACAGCAUAUCAUUUCUAUUCAAUUGUGUCUUUCAAAUUUGUGUGUAUUUAAAGUGGAUUAUUUUAGGGAGCAUAGAGUUGGAUCUUGAUUUUUAAAACCAAUUUAACAAUCUUUGCAUAUAAAUGUGUUUAGACUGUUCGUAUUUGGUGUGAUUAUGAGUACUACUGAGUUUAAGUCCAUCAUCUUGCUAUGUGUUUCAUCUAUGUUUUUCCUAUUUAUCUCAUCCCUUCAUUUUCUCUUUUUUUCUGCUUAAUUUUGAUUAUUCUAACAUUUUAAUUCACACUACAAAAUCUACAGGUUUAAAGUGUAAAAUUAAAUGAUUUUUGAUGUAUUCAGAGAUUUAUGCAACCCUCACAAUUUUAGAAACUUCAUCACCUCCCCAAAGAAACCUAGUACCCCUUCACUAUAAUCUCCACCCCUAAUCCUAGGCAUUAUUUACUGUAAAUUCUUUAUAGAUUUGACUAUACUGGUCAUUUCAUAUAAAUGGAAUAAUAUAAUAUGUGGUUCUUUGUGACUAGCUUAUUUCACAACAUAAUUUUUUAAAUGUUCAUCUAUAUUGUGAUGUUAUUGUUACUUCAUUGCUUUAUAUUGCCAGAUACUCUAAUUGUGUGGAUGUGCCACAUUUUCUUUAUUCAUUGAUUGAUAGACAUUUGGACUGUUUCCAAAUUUUGGCUAUUCUGAAUAUGACUGCUAUGAAUGUUUGCUUAAUUUCAACUUUAUUGGCAUAAUGUUGUUCAUAAUAUAGCUUUAUUAUUUUUGAAUGUAUAGACUAUGCAAUAAUGCCACAUUUCUCAUAGAUAAUUUAUAUCUCUUUUUUUUCCUGAUUAGUAUGACUAGUGGUUCAUUAAUUUUAUUAAACUCCACAAAUAACUAUAUUUUUGUCUCAUCAAUUUUCUAUAUUGUUUUUGUAUUUUCUAUUUCACUGAUUUCAUAUAUUUUCCCAUCUUCCAGGUGUCUAAGGCAGGAGGAUAAGUCCAGUCUCUGUCACUAUAUGAUGACCAGAAACAGAAGUCCUGUUCAGUGUUCUAGUGGAAAGACAAAGACUUGUGCCCAGGUGAAGUUGGUGUGGUACAGAGACUGAAAAGAAAAGUGGUUCCUGGAAAAGAAAAUGCUUAGAGAAGGAGGAGGCAAAUCAAAAUAAGAAAGUGGGAAGUGGGAUAGAUACCUCUUUAUCCGAAAUAAAAACAAGAAAAGUAAAAAUUGGUGUUAAAAACACAAAAAUAUGUAGUAAGUCUGAAGAUCAGAGAAGACAAAAUAUCUGGGAGGGGGUUCUUAGAAGGAACAGGCAGGCAGGCAGGCAAGUCUUCCCCUUCUCUGUCCUGACUGUUAGAAGGGUCAGAUGAGAUAACAUCUUGAAACUAGAGUACUCAGAAAACUUGCAUGUUGAGAAGAAAAACAAUUUUAUUCUAUAUUAACAUCAUUUUGAGACUAGCAGCCCCCUGAGAUGGUUUAUACUUAAUUUACAAAAUGAAUACUCUAACUUCCCACAUGUAACCCUGAACUGAAAUGAUAGCUUCACCUUAGUUAUCUAGAUCCAGAAAGCAACUGGCAUCAAUACCAAAGCUAAACUAAGCCUUAGUUUAUUAUGUCCAUACAACAUGCAUGUGCACUAAUGUUGGGAGCAAUGCUACAUAAUUCUGGGGAAAAAUCAUUUGGUUAGCCUAGUUCUCUUGCCUACAGCCCAGCUACAGAAUAACUCCAGUGUGGCCUCCGGUCACAACUGAGACUUCAGUGAUCCAGUGAUGCUGUGAUUCUCCAGGACAAGAAACAUCCUGGAGAACAAACAUCUGCUCAGUUCCUCGUUGUUCUUGGACUGUUAACAUCUUGUUUACCCGAGAUGUACUGAACUCUCUGCAAGCCUUUUGUUGCACCUUGUUUACCCCAAUGUGAACUAUUGAACUCUCUGCAAGUCAUUUGUUACGAGGGGCAAGCAGUGAAUGUCACAGAUGGAGAAAGGGUUGGCUCAAUUUGGGAAAAGUGCUUCAAGGACAGAGACACUUAGGGGGGUCUUCAAGAGACCUGCUAUAUUUCAUGCUUGUAAAAUCAAUGGAAACACUGCAGUCUUUAGCUACAGCUGAUACAUACUAUGGUGGAAUUUUGCUUUGCUUUGUGGGAACAUUUUGGGUCUUUUCAUUUUCUUGGAUUCCUUCAAUCUGACAGUGGUGCCCACAUUCAUUUCUCCAACUGCACCUUCAACAACUGAAUGAUUUAGUCUUAGAAACCUCAGAAAAAGGCCAAUCAACAUUCUUUCUUACUCAUUAGUUGCUCCAUGUAACAAUAUACAGUAGAAGAUAAUUGUAAGUUAUCAAAAGCUUUUCUAUAUUGGAAUAAUGUUUUUCAGUUAAUAUUUAUUGAGCACUUCCUUGAUGGAAUUUCCAA
ensembl:lncRNA